AACCCGAACCUCUCGCUCAACGUCCCC
rnacentral:sRNA from 1 species